rnacentral:rRNA from 1 species
AGAGUUUGAUCUUGGCUCAGGACGAACGCUGGCGGCGUGCGCUGAAUACGCUGCAAGUAGAACGCUGAAGUACUGGUGCUUGCACUAGUCAGAUGAGUUGCGAACGGGUGAGUAACGCGUAGGUAACCUACCUUAUAGCGGGGGAUAACUAUUGGACAACGAUAGCUAAUACCGCAUGACAAUUAAGUACUCAUGUACUAAAUUUAAAAGGAGCAAUUGCUUCACUAUGAGAUGGACCUGCGUUGUAUUAGCUAGUUGGUGAGGUAACGGCUCACCAAGGCCACGAUACAUAGCCGACCUGAGAGGGUGAUCGGCCACACUGGGACUGAGACACGGCCCAGACUCCUACGGGAGGCAGCAGUAGGGAAUCUUCGGCAAUGGGGGCAACCCUGACCGAGCAACGCCGCGUGAGUGAAGAAGGUUUUCGGAUCGUAAAGCUCUGUUGUUAGAGAAGAACGGUAAUGGGAGUGGAAAAUCCAUUACGUGACGGUAACUAACCAGAAAGGGACGGCUAACUACGUGCCAGCAGCCGCGGUAAUACGUAGGUCUCGAGCGUUGUCCGGAUUUAUUGGGCGUAAAGCGAGCGCAGGCGGUUAUUUAAGUCUGAAGUUAAAGGCCGUGGCUCAACCAUGGUUCGCUUUGGAAACUGGAUAACUUGAGUGCAGAAGGGGAGAGUGGAAUUCCAUGUGUAGCGGUGAAAUGCGUAGAUAUAUGGAGGAACACCGGUGGCGAAAGCGGCUCUCUGGUCUGUAACUGACGCUGAGGCUCGAAAGCGUGGGGAGCAAACAGGAUUAGAUACCCUGGUAGUCCACGCCGUAAACGAUGAGUGCUAGGUGUUAGGCCCUUUCCGGGGCUUAGUGCCGCAGCU